rnacentral:rRNA from 1 species
UACAGAGGGUGCGAACGUUGUUCGGAAUUACUGGGCAUAAAGAGCACGUAGGCGGCACCGCAAGUGUGGGGUGAAAUCCCACGGCUUACCCGUGGAACUGCCUGGCAGACUGCGGUGCUAGAGGUUGGUAGGGGAGAGCGGAACUCUUGGUGGAGCGGUGAAAUGCGUAGAUAUCAAGAGGAACACCGGUGGCGAAGGCGGCCCUCUGGAACAAUCCUGACGCUGAGGUGCGAAAGCUAGGGGAGCAAACGGG